ACCAUUAACCAGAGUUAGGCAUUGCAAAGAACACAUAUACUUUCCGUGUUUUUAAUAGAUGAGUUUGUUGCAAAAUCAGUAUAACCAAUUACAACAAAAUACAUAACCUUGAAUAGUGGUAGUCAUCAAUUUCUCAUCGCCACUCAAUUUCGUUUGAAAUGGCUGUUUCCUUCACGUUAUUCAUCACUUUUGGUCUUCUAAUUUUGGCGCAAUUGAAUAGUAUCAGUGCCACUACAUUAUCAAGAGCAAAAAUCGAAACGUGCGGGGGUUGUAAACUGAAUCGGUUACCUGAAUUAAAGGCAUUCAUCCAUGAGGAUUUUGUAAAUUACGAAAACACAGAAUUGAAACUAAUACCGGGGGCGUCUCCCGAGUUGAUAUUUUUUGACAAGCACGAUGUGGAGGUGAAAAGGAUUAAUUUGGAAGGGUACAAUAGGGAGGAAUGUAACGCGUUGCUUGAAGAUCACAAAUUUCAACGUAAACAGAAACAUGACUUAUAGGUAGUUUGUGGCCUGACCACAUCCUUACCCCACUACAAAUCGGGUGCGAGUAGUAAAUGUCUCACAUAGUUCUUUUUAUACGCACUUUAUGUAAAAAUUUUAAAAUAAAAUUCCACUCUAAUUGCA